rnacentral:rRNA from 1 species
UCUUGCACACAUAUAAGAAGUAAUUCCUGCCCAGUGAAUCACAUUUCAACGGCCGCGGUAUCCUAACCGUGCAAAGGUAGCAUAAUCACUUGCCCAUUAAUUGUGGGCUAGAAUGAAAGGACCAACGAAAUAAAAACUGUCUCUAUAAGCCUAAUAAAAAUUAAUCUCUAACUGAAGACUGUUAGAUAACAUUGAAGGACAAGAAGACCCUAUAGAGCUUUAUUUUAAUAAAAGCUAAUAUUUUAAUAAAAUUCGGUUGGGGCGACCGGGGAAAGAUAUUAAUCAUCCCCUAAAAAAAGAUUAAUUAAUCCCAUUUAUGACCCUUAAUUAAGAUCACCAGAAUAAGCUACCUUAGGGAUAACAGGCUAAUCUCACUAAAGAGUCCUUAUCAAUAGUGAGGAUUGGCACCUCGAUGUUGGCUUAGGGAAUCUAUAUGGCGCAAAAGUCGUAUAAAGAUGGUUUGUUCAACCAAUAAUACCCUACAUGAGCUGAGUUCAGACCGGCGUAAGCCAGGUUAGUUUCUAUCCUCAAUAAUAACAUCUAUUUAUAGUACGAAAGGACCUAAAUAAGAAUAAUAAUUAUAUUAUAAGAAUAAAUAUAACAUAUAUUAAAUAAGUUGAUACAUUCACUAUG